rnacentral:lncRNA from 1 species
UAUAGAGAAAAAUAAUAAUUUUUUUUUCGGAGUAUUAAAAUUAAAGUGUUAAAUAUAAAGAGUUUGUUGAAGUUUUAACUUUUCUAAAUUUAUAGAUAAUGUUCAAAUAAUAAAAUAUGAUUUUUAAAAAUAAAAAAGUCUCUUACAACGCGGAAAGUCAUAUGCCGACUCUUUAUUAUGCUAGUAGAACGCUAGGUGCGGCCCCUCAAUUCAAAAUUGACUUGUUUGUUGCCGUGUGUAGAACGUCAUGUUCAUGUUAGAUGUUGACCAAAUUAACUGGGCUUUUUGGAGUUGCACUAUAGAAGCGAAUUUGGCCGGCAAGAAUGAAAAAAAGACAUUACAAUUUUAUUGAAUUCCAAAAGGCACAUUUUUACUUGGCUAUAUUUGGUUUAGUUAUAAAAGUGAAUUAUCGAAAAUUAAGUUUAAUCACGUAUUUAUGGAACUUAUAUUUUUCAGAUAUACAUUUCAUCAACUUUUAUCAGUAUCUACUAAUUUUUUUAUUUUAUCUAAAUCAAACAGAGAUUUAAUCUAAUAUGUUACCAUGUGAAAAUCAAAACAUUAAGGUGUUAGAAUGAAUACACACACACUGACAAACAUAUAUAUUGUACAUAGCUCAUAUUUGGUAGAGAUUAAAAUCAGAAAUUGAUUGUUAAUUUUGAUUUAAAUUAAAAUUUUAAUAUUAAUCGAUAUCAAAUAAGGGCAUAGUGCGUGCGCAGGUAUACUUACUCUAGCAAGCCUUGUUUCUUGCUCAGAAGAAAAGCUUACAAAAGGCUUACAGAAUACACACAAUGGGAGUAGGUGAAGUUUUUCUGACAAUAUUUUAAUCAUAUGGGAUCCACCGUGAGUAUCUA